UACUAAUGCAUAUGGCGGAUGCCUAGACAUCAAAAAGCGAUGAAGGACGUAGCUAGUUGCGAAAAGCUUCGGGGAGGUGCUGAGCAACCUUUGAUCCGAAGAUAUCCAAAUGGGGCAACCCAACCCAUUCUUCACUUCGUUCAGAAUGUAAUUUCUAAUUUUCAAUUUACAAUUUUCAAAUAAAUUCUAAUCUCAAAUUUUUAGAAAUUGAAACAUUGAGAAUUAUUUAUAAAAUUAAAAAUUUUAAAUUAAAAAAUUUGUAAAGUUUAUUUUAAUGGCAAAAUUUCUGGAUAAAGUGAAGAAUGGGUUAAUAUUAACUGAAUUCAUAGGUUAAUAUAGCGUACCCGGCGAAUUGAAACAUCUUAGUAGCCGGAGGAAAAGAAAACUAAUGUGAUUCCCUAAGUAGUGGCGAGCGAAAGGGGAAAAGUCUAAACCAGCUUCACCUCACUGCGUUCGGUGAAGAAUUCUAGAUUUUAAAUUCUAAAUUUUAAAUCAAAUCUAAAUUUUCAAAUGAUUGAAUUUUAAAAAUUUGUUCAUUUGGUCAUUGAAAAUUCGUUUAAAAUUGAAAAUUUAAAAUUGAAAAUUCUGUCCGAGCAUAGCGAGGUGCAGCUGGGGUUGCGAGGUAAUUUUACUCGUUUAAUCGGGGCGAUGAAUUGUUUGUUAGCAGAACGUUUUGGAAAAAACGACCAAAGAAAGUGAAAGUCUUGUAAGCGAAAACAAACAACAUUCGUGAAAUUAUUCUCAAGUAGGGCGGGACCGGAGAAAUCCCGUUUGAAUCUGGGGUCACUAUAACUCCAAGACUAAAUAUUUUUGAUGAUCGAUAGCGAACAAGUACCGUGAGGGAAAGGUGAAAAGUAUCCCGAUGAGGGAGAUGAAAUAGUAUCUGAAACCAUAUGCUAACGAAGAGUAGGAGCCGUAUUUUUCACUAACGUCCAGAAUAAAUUUUUAAUUUCCAAUUUUUAAUUUUAUAAAUAAUUUUUAAUGUUUUGAUUUUAUAAACAUUAGAAAUUAGAAAAUUAUUUAAAAAUUGUAAAAAUUAAAAAUUAUAAAAUUCGGAGCGUAAGUGAAGAAUACGGUGACUGCGUGCUUUUUGUAGAACGAUCCAGCGAGUUAGUUUUAUACGGCUUGCUUAAUCCGUUAAUAGCGGAGGAGGCGUAGUGAAAGCGAGCCUUAACCGGCGAUUUGUCGUAUGGACUAGACCCGAAGCCAGGCGAGCUAUUUAUGAGCAGGGUGAAUCUUGAGUAACAUCAAGAGGAGGCCCGAACCCACCGGCCGUGCAACACCGGGGGAUGACUUGUGAAUAGAGGAGAAAUUCCAAUCGAGCUUGGCGAUAGCUGGUUCUUCCCGAAAUAGCUUGAGGGCUAGCGUUAGGUAACUAUCUGUCGGAGGUAGAGCGACUGAAUGAGAAUUCGCGGUUCGCCGUAGGUUUCUCAACCAAACUCCGAAUUCCGUCAGAACUAUCCUAGCAGUCAGAAAUCCGGGGCUAAGCUCGGAUCUCAAAAGGGGAAAAGCCCAUGAUCGCAAUCUAAGGUCCCUAAUUUAUGUUAAGUGGAAAAGGAAGUAAGAUUUCUUAUACAGCUAGGAGGUUGGCUCAGAGGCAGCCAUCCUUUAAAGAGUGCGUAAUAGCUCACUAGUCUAGAGAUUUCGCGCCGAAAAUGUAACGGGGCUAAAACAUAAUACCGAAGAUGCGGGCUACUAUUCUUCACUAACGUUCAGAAUGAAAUUUUAAAGACUAAAUUUAAAAUUUUAAAUCAAGUCUAAAUGAAUAAAUUUUUAAAAUUUAAACAUUGGGAAAUUUAAAAUUCAAUUAAAAUUUAUAAUUUAAAAUUGAAAAUUUCCGAGCGAUAGCGAAGGAUGGUAGCGGUAGGGAAGCGUUCCAUAUGCGCUGAAGCGGAAUGCGUGAGCAACCGUGGAGUUUAUGGAAGUGAGAAUGCUGGAAUUAGUAACCGCAAUUGGGGUGAGAACCCCCGACACCGAAAGUCUAAGGUUUCCUGGGCAAUGGCAAUCAUCUCAGGGUUAGUCGGGCCUAAGGCGAGGCCGAAAGGCGUAGUCGAUGGACACACGGUUAAUACUCCGUGGCUUUCACGUUAUUCGAUGGAGUGACGCAUCCUAGUAGUUCUUGCCAAUUAUUGGAUUUUGGUAGGGAUAUUUAGAUGGCGAGACAGGUAAAUCCGUUUCGCAAUACAUCAAGAUAUUUCUCUAAUUUGUCUUCGGACAGAAAAGAAGAAUGAGCAGGGUGCCGGGAAAAGCUUCUAAGAUUAGUAGCGUGAGAACCGUACUAAAACCGACACAGGUAGACUGGGCGAGUAGCCUAAGGUGAACGAGUGAACCUUCGUUAAGGAACUCGGCAAAAUAGCGUCCGUAACUUAGGAAUAAGGACUGCCCGCCGUGUAUAGCACAGAGAUUCUAAAUUUCAGAAAAAUAAUUAAAAUAUAAAUUUGGAAUUCCCGUGCUAUGCGUGGUGGGCCGCAGCUAAAGAUAUCAAGCGACUGUUUACCAAAAACACAGGUCUCUGCAAACCCGCAAGGGGAUGUAUAGGGGCUGACGCCUGACCAGUGCUGGAACGUUAACGGGAGCGGUGCAAGCCAAUCCCCGAAGCGCCAGUG
rnacentral:rRNA from 1 species